UACGUAGGGGGCAAGCGUUGUCCGGAUUUAUUGGGCGUAAAGAGCGUGUAGGCGGCCGGAUAGGUCCGUUGUGAAAACUCGAGGCUCAACCUCGAGACGCCGAUGGAAACCAUCUGGCUAGAGUCCGGAAGAGGAGAGUGGAAUUCCCGGUGUAGAGGUGAAAUGCGCAGAUAUCGGGAAGAACACCCGUGGCUAAGGCGGCUCUCUAGUACGGUACUGACGCUGAGACGCGAAAGCGUGGGGAGCGAACAGG
rnacentral:rRNA from 1 species